CUACGGGUUGCUGCAGUGAGGAAUAUUGCACAAUGGGGGGAACCCUGAUGCAGCAACGCCGCGUGGAGGAUGACGCAUUUCGGUGUGUAAACUCCUUUUAUAUGUCAAGAAAAUGACGGUAGCAUAUGAAUAAGCACCGGCUAACUCCGUGCCAGCAGCCGCGGUAAUACGGAGGGUGCAAGCGGUACUCGGAAUCACUGGGCGUAAAGGACGCGUAGGCGGGUUGGAAAGUCAGGUGUGAAAUCCUACAGCUUAACUGUAGAACUGCACUUGAAACUUCUAAUCUAGAGUAUGGGAGGGGAGAUGGAAUUAGUGGUGUAGGGGUAAAAUCCGUAGAUAUCACUAGGAAUACCUAAAGCGAAGGCGAUCUCCUGGAACAUUACUGACGCUAAGGCGUGAAAGCGUGGGGAGCAAACAGGAUUAGAUACCCCCGUAGUC
rnacentral:rRNA from 1 species